GAUCGCUUAGCUCAGUUGGUUAGAGCGUGGUGCUAAUACCCAUCCGACAAGAUGGAUAGUUCACGCCAAGGUCGCGAGUUCGACCCUCGUAGUGAUCA
rnacentral:tRNA from 1 species